rnacentral:rRNA from 1 species
UGAGGAAUAUUGGUCAAUGGACGAGAGUCUGAACCAGCCAAGUAGCGUGAAGGAUGACUGCCCUAUGGGUUGUAAACUUCUUUUAUAUGGGAAUAAAGUUCAGUAUGUAUACUGUUUUGUAUGUACCAUAUGAAUAAGGAUCGGCUAACUCCGUGCCAGCAGCCGCGGUAAUACGGAGGAUCCGAGCGUUAUCCGGAUUUAUUGGGUUUAAAGGGAGCGUAGGCGGACGCUUAAGUCAGUUGUGAAAGUUUGCGGCUCAACCGUAAAAUUGCAGUUGAUACUGGGUGUCUUGAGUGCAGCAGAGGUAGGCGGAAUUCGUGGUGUAGCGGUGAAAUGCUUAGAUAUCACGAAGAACUCCGAUUGCGAAGGCAGCUUACUAAACUGCCACUGACAUUGAUGCUCGAAAGUGUGGGUAUCAAACAGG